rnacentral:misc_RNA from 1 species
UUGACUCAUUUGUACAAGUUCUCAGAGAGGCCAGUGUGAGACAAGAGUUUUGAUGUCGUCCGGCGGGCCGCCCCCCCGCGAACGGGGGGAGCCGGCGCGCCGAAGCAACGGUACGGGUAACGUUCACAAUGGUGUGGGAGUUUUGCAACUCUGUAAUGAUCCCUCCGCUGGUUCACCAACGGAGA